GUAAUGGUGUCUUUAGACACCACCUCUAUAUUGAUUUUAUUUUUC
rfam:Picea glauca, whole genome shotgun sequence.